CCUUGUACACACCGCCCGUCACACCAUGGGAGUGGGUUGCACCAGAAGUAGCUAGUCUAACCUUCGGGGGGACGGUUACACGGUGUGAUUCAUGACUGGGGUG
rnacentral:rRNA from 1 species